AUUUCCUUCUCUUUUCUCCCAUGUUUAACUAACCCACAUCCUCCUCAGUGAGUCUCCUCCUCAGUCUCUCUUCCAGAGGCUCAGACACGCAGCACAGGAGAAGUCAGUCUAGUCAGUCUGUCGACACUCCUCCCCACCCUCGUCGUCUGUGAAAAACAGCCCAUUCAAGCCAAAACAAACGAUCGCCACCAAAACAAAAGAUCGCCAGCCCCGCCCGCUCCUCUCCCCCCGCCCGACGCAAAUAAUCAACACAAGCCCUGCCAUUGCCCCACCUGAGC
rnacentral:lncRNA from 1 species